rnacentral:tRNA from 1 species
GCUGGUGUAGCUCAGUUGGUAGAGCGGCGCACUCGUAAUGCGCAGGUCAGCGGUUCAACCCCGCUCACCAGCU